rfam:Gossypium arboreum cultivar AKA8401 contig_26517_1, whole genome shotgun sequence.
UCACUUACCUGGACGGGGCGUAUGGGCGAUCAAUGAGGCCCAUGGCCUAGGUUGGCGACUCACAUUGCACUUGGUGAGGGCGCCAGCUUAACAUCUCCCCAAGUGGGAGAGUGUACGUCAUAAUUUGUGAGAGAGGGGGCCUGCGUACGCGCGGUCCCUAC